GUGUUCCUAACACCACUGCAGAGCAGCUAACGGCAAGCAAAGACUUGGAGUCCUUGCAUCGGUCGUCGUCUAGUACACCAACGCCCUACCAGCCACCAAGUGUCUCCAUUGAGAGGGAACAAAAGACAUCUGAUGAGACAAUCCAUGCCAUAGAAGUAGGCGAAGUAUCCGAAGACACCGGACUAACAGCGACAGCCCCUACAUCACGCCAAACAAAUCGUGAAGCUACAGGCGAAGGGUCUGAAGACACAGAGCUAACAGCACCCGUCCCUACAUCACGUCAGACA